rnacentral:rRNA from 1 species
GUCGAGCGGAACGAUGGGAGCUUGCUCCCAGGCGUCGAGCGGCGGACGGGUGAGUAACACGUGGGAAUCUGCCCAUUAGUGGGGGAUAACUCGGGGAAACUCGAGCUAAUACCGCAUAAUCCCUACGGGGGAAAGCAGGGGAUCUUCGGACCUUGCGCUGAUGGAUGAGCCCGCGUCGGAUUAGCUUGUUGGUGGGGUAAUGGCCCACCAAGGCGACGAUCCGUAACUGGUCUGAGAGGAUGGCCAGUCACACCGGGACUGAGACACGGCCCGGACUCCUACGGGAGGCAGCAGUGGGGAAUCUUGGACAAUGGGCGCAAGCCUGAUCCAGCCAUGCCGCGUGUGUGAAGAAGGCCUUCGGGUUGUAAAGCACUUUCAGUAGGGAGGAAGGCUUUGGGCUAAUACCCUGGAGUACUUGACGUUACCUACAGAAGAAGCACCGGCUAAUUUCGUGCCAGCAGCCGCGGUAAUACGAAAGGUGCGAGCGUUAAUCGGAAUUACUGGGCGUAAAGCGCGCGUAGGCGGUGUGUUAACUCUGAUGUGAAAUCCCUUGGCUCAACCUUGGAAUUGCAUCCGAGACUGGCACGCUAUGAGUGCAGUAGAGGGA